CCCGGUCGUGGGUAGAAAACAAAUCUCAUUACAAAGGCAGCGGGAGGAGGAGGCGGGUGGAAAUGGGAGGCGGAGGAGGGACGAGGACCUACCGUUGUUGCCGAAGUCCAGCGAGUACUUGACCACGUGGUAGUUAUUCCACACGUACAGCAGGUUGUCCCUGGGGUUGUAAUCCACGGCGGCGAUGUACUGGUAGGAGUUUGGGAACGGUAUGCCGACCACCACCUCCUUGCUCUUAUCCGUGUUGUACAUGUAGUCGAUCUUGUUGCCCGUCCCUUCGUUGUCGUCGUCCUCGUAGACGGUCUUCACCACGUACAGCACCCCGCAGAUCAUGAACGCGUUGGACGCCGAGCGCUUGUCGUAGCUGGUGUCCCACGAGCCCUCGAUGCGCAGCGUGUAGGGGUUGAGCUGGCUCACCACCAUGCGCCCGUUGUUCUGCUCCGUGGCGUAGAUCACCCACAGCCCGUUCUCGUCCACCGCCAGGUCGAUGUCCGACUUCCCCCCCCAGCGGUACGGCGAGGUGUCGUGGUAGUUGGCGUUGGCGAUGAUGGCCUCGCCGCUCUUGAUGCGGGUGCGCAGGUCGAACUUGACGAUGUUGCGGGUGCGCUCCUUGUUGAAGAAGAGCGCGCCGUCGUAGACGACGAAACCAGUCCCGUCCACGCGGUGCGGCAGUUUUGUAGGUGGUGGUGGGGCGGCCGGCGAUGAAGUCCUCCUUCGACGAGUACUCCGUCAGCGUGUCCGUGCGGUACGGCGUCCAGGGCAUGUAGUAGAUCUUGUCGGAGGCCUGCAGAGGGUCUUUGCACCACGCGCCCGACUGGUGGUCCGACUCGAAGAGGUGCUCACUUUGGUAGACUCCUCUCAGAAUGCCGGGGCAGAGAAAUACUGAUGGAGCAAAUAAGAACGAAUUAGAACGAACGCUUCUGCUCCCCGGGUUCUUUUGACGGGGCCUUGCAAACGUUUGGCUCUUUUGGUGAAUGUCGAGUUGUGCCUCGACUCAAGCUUAAC
ensembl:lncRNA